rnacentral:rRNA from 1 species
UCGGGAAUAUUGCGCAAUGGAGGAAACUCUGACGCAGUGACGCCGCGUGCAGGAAGAAGGUUUUCGGAUUGUAAACUGCUUUAGACAGGGAAGAAAAAAUGACAGUACCUGUAGAAUAAGCUCCGGCUAACUACGUGCCAGCAGCCGCGGUAAUACGUAGGGAGCAAGCGUUAUCCGGAUUUAUUGGGUGUAAAGGGUGCGUAGACGGGAAGGCAAGUUGGUUGUGAAAUCCCUCGGCUUAACUGAGGAACUGCAACCAAAACUAUCUUUCUUGAGUGCUGGAGAGGAAAGUGGAAUUCCUAGUGUAGCGGUGAAAUGCGUAGAUAUUAGGAGGAACACCAGUGGCGAAGGCGACUUUCUGGACAGUAACUGACGUUGAGGCACGAAAGUGUGGGGAGCAAACAGGAUUAGAUACC